AUGGUCAGCGUCACCGAGCUCUGCCCGCUGUCCCUGGAGAUCCUGACCCGGCCCUGCACCGACGGCGCGCACGCGGAGCUCCAGCCUUCCUUCCUGGUGCUCCCGACGUAUUCCAGGGCCUGCCCGGGGCUCUGGCGGAUCCAGAACAUGAGGAAACCGCCGACAUCGAACCCGGAGACGCGGCACAGCAAGCUGGAGUGCGGGGGGGACCUCCAGCCCCCGGGGGGUCCCUGCGCCUCCUCUGCCGAGGGUCUGGGUUCGAUUUCGGGAGUUUCUCCAUGUUCUGGAUCCGCCAGAGACCCGGGCAGGGGCUGGAGUGGCUCGCAGGGAUCUACAGCAGUGGCAGCGCCUACUACGCGCCGUCGUUCAAGGGCCGGGUCAGGAUCUCCAGGGACAGCGGGCAGAGCUCGGUGACGCUGACCAUGACCGACCUCCGGGACGAGGAUUCCGGAUCCUAUUUCUGUGCCAAGCGUGCUGAUAAUGGCUGUUGUUCUGCAGCUUAUGGUGACGAGGGCAGUGGUGGAUCCAACCCACUCUCAGUGCCCUCUCCUGACCCCAGAGCCCUGACCCUGCCCCCAAACCUCCCCCUUGGACUCGGCUCUGGACCCUCUGUCCCCAUCUGCCCCAAGGGCCAGCACUGACCCCAAACCCUCGCC